CUUCAGUCGCAUCAGCAUGAGAUUCAUAACACUCCUGUCUGUUUCGCUCUUGGUGGCUAUUGUGGCCAUCAGCCAGGCGGAUGACAGCAGUCCAGGAUUCUUCCUAAAGAUCACCAAGAACGUGCCGCGGCUCGGCAAGCGAGGGGAGAACUUUGCCCUCAAGAACCUGAAGACCAUUCCUCGCAUUGGACGAAGUGAACACAGCUCUGUGACUCCUCUGCUGGCCUGGCUAUGGGAUCUGGAUACGAGUCCCAGCAAGCGGCGCUUGCCCGCAGGGGAAUCCGCCACGAAGGAGCAGGAACUUAACGUGGUGCAGCCCGUCAACUCGAACACGCUGCUGGAGCUGCUCGACAACAACGCUAUUCCCAGCGAGCAGGUGAAGUUCGUCCACUGGAAGGACUUCGACCGUGCCCUCCAGGUGGAUGCGGAUCUGUACAGCAAGGUUAUCCAGCUGGGCCGCCGUCCGGACCGGCACCUCAAGCAGACUCUUAGCUUCGGCAGCUUCGUUCCCAUCUUCGGCGACGACCAGAACCCCGACUUCAUGAUGUACAAGAACAACGAGAAUCAGGAGCUGUACGGCGGGGGAAAUCGCUACGAUCGCAACUUCCUUAAGUACAACACCCUGUGAGAGGUGAAGUAUCUAUCUGAAGUAUUACAAAUAUUGAUAUAUCCGGAACCUUGAAAAUUAUCCAAGGAUUGAGCAUAUGUCCCACCUGUACUCCACAUUCGCCCAAUUGGUUAGCGUGCACUGCAAGUCAACAGCCGCCGUCGGAGGUCUCCCAGUGAACCAGUGCAAGCACAAUCUGCUCGGCUACGGGU